AACGUAGGGUCCGAGCGUUAUCCGGAUUUACUGGGCGUAAAGCGCGUUCAGGCGGUUUGGCAAGUCGGGCGUGAAAUCUCUCGGCUCAACCGGGAGAGGUUGUCCGAUACUGCUGGACUUGAGGGCAGUAGAGGGUGGUGGAAUUCCGGGUGUAGUGGUGAAAUGCGUAGAUAUCCGGAGGAACACCAGUGGCGAAAGCGGCCACCUGGACUGUACCUGACGCUGACACGCGAAAGCUAGGGGAGCGAACGGG
rnacentral:rRNA from 1 species